GACGAACGCUGGCGGCGUGCUUAACACAUGCAAGUCGAACGGAAAGGCCCUGCUUUUGUGGGGUGCUCGAGUGGCGAACGGGUGCGUAACACGUGAGUAACCUGCCCUUGACUUUGGGAUAACUUCAGGAAACUGGGGCUAAUACCGGAUAGGAGCUCCUGCUGCAUGGUGGGGGUUGGAAAGUUUCGGCGGUUGGGGAUGGACUCGCGGCUUAUCAGCUCGUUGGUGGGGUAGUGGCUUACCAAGGCUUUGACGGGUAGCCGGCCUGAGAGGGUGACCGGCCACAUUGGGACUGAGAUACGGCCCAGACUCCUACGGGAGGCAGCAGUGGGGAAUAUUGCACAAUGGGCGGAAGCCUGAUGCAGCAACGCCGCGUGCGGGAUGACGGCCUUCGGGUUGUAAACCGCUUUCGCCUGUGACGAAGCGUGAGUGACGGUAAUGGGUAAAGAAGCACCGGCUAACUACGUG
rnacentral:rRNA from 1 species